GGUUUCUGUUCCCCGUUUCCCUGGGCUGCUGCUGCUGAGAGGAAAGGGAAGUGUUGCUCAAUCAACGGGGUGAGCACAGCACCCACAGAUCGUGGCACCCACAGAUGUGCCAAGCGCCGGCAGAGCCGUGGGUCCCAGCAGCCCGGGGCACCCCAAGAGGUAAGAGGCACUCCCAGGCCCCCCAGGACCCCUCUUCCCAGCCACCUUGUCCCCAGUGUCCUUGGUGGGGACACUGGGGGGGGUGGCAGAGGUUCCUCUGUGGGUGCUGCCCCGACCUUGGGUCCUGAGGGAGGUUUGGGGGAGCCAGGGGAUAGGGAGGUUCACAGCCCUGGAGCAUUUGUUGGCUUGGAGGUGGGAGAGGUGAGUGCUGGAGCUGGGGUGACACUGGGGUGACACUGGGGUGCUCAGUGUGAUGCAGGGGGGCUCAGCAGGGUUUAGGGGGGCACUGAGGGCUGAUGAGGGCUCAGUGAGGUGCCAGAGGGACUCCUCUAGGGUGUGAUGGGAUGAAUGGGGGUGCAGGGGGACUCGGCAGGGUAGCAGGGGGAUAGGAGGUGUGUGCAGCAGCCGGGGGACUGAUUCACAAGCCCCAAAAUUGUGUCCCCGACACUGACACCAUGGCUGAGCUGUGCUCUGGGGGCUGCUGAAUCCCCAGACACCUGAAAUGAUGGGGGUACAAGCUGACGGGCCGGCCCCUGAACUCGUUUGUCUCUCUCUCCCUGGUGCCUUGUGCCCCAUGCUCCUGGCUGGAGCUUGGGCACCUCCUCCCUGCCUCAGUUUCCCCUUCCCACUGGCCACCCCCUUCCAGGCAGGUUUGUGCCCAGGGCAGCAGGGGAAGCGGGGGCUGUGCCUCCGGCCAGGGCUGCAGCCUGGGCAGGGCAGGGCAGGGAGCGAGGGGAAGGAGGAGAAGCGGCUCUCCGGGACCUGCCGCCCUCCGGGCGCGGGUGGCACCCACGGGCGGAGCGGCGACAGAUGCUGCCCGGCGACACGGCUGGGGCAGGGGGGCUCCUGCGGCUGUGCCACCACAUCUGCCUCUGAGGAAAGCAGAUCUCCUCCUCCCCUGCUCAGAGCCGCCCGGAGGAGGCUGGGUGGGCUCUCUGAGCCCACUGAACUGAAAAGCUCUGGGGUCGAUGUCACCGCGCUAAUGACGGGUUGGAAGUGCCCACGAGGGUCGCGCUGGGCUCCGUGCGGGCGGCAUCUCCCGGGCUGAGCCCGGCUGGCCGCAGGGCUUUGGCACCCCCUGCAGAGGCGCAGGAAGCCGUGCCGGCGGCUACCGGAGCAUCCUGCCGCAAUUUCCUCUGCCGGAGGGGGCUGACAGCGGCUCGGCCUUGUGCAAACCUUUCUGCGCGGGAUAAGUGUCCUGGGAAGUGGAGCUGGGCUGGUGGCAAGUGUGGCCACCACGCUGUCCUGUGCUGUCCCACUCACUCUGCCUUCACCUUCUUCUUAGACCCCUAAAUCCAUCAUUGUGGCUUAGAAUCGUGGAAUCACAGGAGGGUCUGAGAUGGAAGUGACCUUAAAGAUUCAUUCCAGCCUCUUGCCAUGGGCAGAGACACCUCACACUAGCCCAGGGUGCUCCAAACCCUGUCCAACCUGGCCUUGGACACUUGCAGGGAUGCCACAGCUUCUCUGGGUAGCCCAGCUCUCCCAGAGCAGAGGGGAUCUCUUGGAGCAGCUCUCUCCAGCAGCUCCAGGUGCUGCUGCUGUGUCCCCAGGGCUGGGGCAGCUCUGCAGGUGGGCUCUCAGCUGGGCACAGGGGCACAGGGGCAGAACCCCCCAUGCCCUGCUGCCCAGGCUGGGGGAUCAGCCCAGGGCACAGGGGGCUGCACAUGAUUGCACAUGGCUGGGUCGUGUCCAGCUUCCCAUCCACCAAAUCAUCCUCAGGGCUGCUCUCCAUCCCUCCAUCCCCCAGCCUGUGUGCACACUGGGGGUUGCCCCAACCUGCAGAUCACCAGUCCGGGUUCAUCCUGUGAAGGGCGUAUGUGACACCACGCAGACGAGUCACCAGCUGUCCCCUCUGACAUUCACAGGUGCUGCAGAGGGGCCACGCCAGCAGAGAGGACACUGACGGCUGGGAACACCACCAUGGCCAACCUGACAGCCACGAGCACCGGGAGGAACUCGUGCACCUACCACGAGGAGUUCAAGCAGGUCCUGCUGCCCCUGGUGUACUCGGUGGUGUUCGUGGUGGGGCUGCCCCUCAACGCCGUGGUCAUCGGGCAGAUCUGGCUGGCGCGGAAGGCGCUGAGCCGCUCCAUGAUCUACAUGCUCAACCUGGCCGUGGCUGACCUGCUCUACGUCUGCUCCCUGCCGCUCCUCAUCUACAACUACACCCAGAAGGACUACUGGCCUUUCGGGGACUUCACCUGCAAAUUCGUGCGCUUCCAGUUCUACACCAACCUGCACAGCAGCAUCUUCUUCCUCACCUGCAUCAGCGUCCAGCGCUACCUGGGCAUCUGCCACCCGCUGGCCUCGUGGCACAAGAAGAAGGGCAAGAAGCUGACGUGGCUGGUGUGUGCGGCCGUGUGGUUCAUCGUCAUCGCCCAGUGCCUGCCCACCUUCGUCUUUGCCUCCACCGGCACGCAGAGGAACCGCACCGUCUGCUACGACCUGAGCACGCCCGACCGCUCCGCCGCCUACUUCCCCUACGGCAUCACCCUCACCUUCACCGGCUUCCUGCUGCCCUUCGUGGCCAUCCUGGCCUGCUACUGCAGCAUGGCCCGCAUCCUGUGCCAGAAGGACGAGCUGAUCGGCCUGGCCGUGCACAAGAGGAAGGACAAAGCCGUGCGUAUGGUCAUCAUCGUGGUCAUCGUCUUCUCCAUCAGCUUCUUCCCCUUCCACCUGACCAAGACCAUCUACCUGAUCGUCCGCUCCUCGCCCGUCCUGCCCUGCCCGGCCCUGCAGGCCUUCGCCAUCGCCUACAAGUGCACGCGGCCCUUCGCCAGCAUGAACAGCGUCCUCGACCCCAUCCUCUUCUACUUCACCCAGCGCAAGUUCCGCGAGAGCACCCGCUACCUCCUCGACAAGGUGAGCUCCAAGUGGCGGCACGACCACUGCGUCACCUACGGCUCCUAGGCGAGGACGGGGCCACCUCGGUGCCGCCGAGGCACGGAGCAAUUUCGGCUCGAAGCUCCACGGAGCAGAGAUGGCUUCACUGGGGACAUGCUGGAGGAGAGGAGGAUGGCAUCUCCCAAGCUUUCAGCACUUUCAGCCCAUCUCCAGCCUGGCGAUGGAUCCAUGGUGAUCCAUCUCCAUCCAGUGGUGCAGUAUUAACCCCAUCACAGAUCCAGUGUCCUCUCCCUUGCUCACUUGGAGCAGCUCAGCACCUUGGUGGUCAAGCCACCGAUGCAAUAAAAAUCCACUGGGACCGUGGAGAACAAGUGGGAGCUCCAUGGAGGACACGUCCCUGGCUCAGGAUGAGCUGCUGGGGGAUGAUUUGUCCCUGUACUCAAUUAAAAAUUCCAUUAUGGGGACAGCAUGAAGGCUGGGGAGGAUUUGGUUCAGCCCAUACCACGGGGCCAUGUGUUUCUCCAGCUCAAGAUCAGUGCCACGGGUGGUUUUUGUGUAACAUCCUUUUUGGGACAUCCCUAUCCCCCAGUGCCUGGAAUGAGGCCACACCAGCAAGAGACACAGGCUCACUGGUGUUGCUGGUGCUGCAAAAUGGUGGAGGAGCACCCCUGAACGGACUGGGAACUGGGAAAGGGGACAUCAGGGCAACUGGAACACCCGUGCUGGAUUUCCCACUGAAGCCACAACCAUGGGGUGGGUUAGGCACAAACCAGCAGCAUUGUCACCUGCCUGGCGACCUUCACCUGAAUCCAGCUCCCUGCUUAGCCCAAAUCUGGCCCAUGCUGGUGUCAGUGGUGCCCUGCUGUCACCUCCUAACCAGGAUCCACCACAAUGAGAGCCAACACACGUGGACACAACGCCCGCAGUUGGAAGAUGCUUUCCACAGAGAGCUACUCAGUGUCCUGGCCACGUCACCAUGCAUCCCUGGCCACGUCACCAUGCAUCCCUGGCCAUGUCACCAUGCAUCCCUGGCCACGUCACCAUGCAUCCCUGGCCAUGUCACCAUGCAUCCCUGGCCUCUCCACGGGGUUGGGGCCUGAGCUUUGCGCCCCCAGCCUCUGUUGGGAUGCUGCCCCCUCCCAGCGAGGAGGGAUUUGGGAGGUGGAUGCACCACUCAUCACUCUGCGAGUCUUCUCUAACAUAUAGGAUGUAUAGAAUUAACUCCCUGCUCUCUCUCAGAUGGGUGUAUACACCCACUGUAUGUACAGACAUAGAAUAUAUCCGAGCAGAGGGAGGUUUGUGGCCCAGCCCAGGCUCUGCAGUGCAGAAAUUCUCUGCCUGAACACGGUACAGGAGGAAGGUGACGGAGUGGGAGGGCCGGGCCACGCCAUCCGGACCCAGGAGAGGGCGCAAAAUAUUUAGAUUUGGAGAAAUCCGGCUGCUCUGUGGGUGUCCACCUGGCUCCAGGGAGGGAGGGAGGAGCCCUGCACCCAGCGCCUGGAUAGGACCCGUGGGAGGAGGCGGCCGAAAAAAUCGAACCACAAUAAAGCUCUGAGGUUGUGGAGGGGGGAAUUAAUCAGCUUCCAAAAGGUCUGGUGGUGGCUGCACGGGCUCAGGUGGUCACAUCCAACGGCCUCAGGAUGUUGUUCCUGAUACUGGAAUC